rnacentral:rRNA from 1 species
AUUGAACGCUGGCGGCAUGCUUUACACAUGCAAGUCGAACGGCAGCAUGGGUGCUUGCACCUGAUGGCGAGUGGCGAACGGGUGAGUAAUAUAUCGGAACAUGUCCGGAAGUGGGGGAUAACGUAGCGAAAGUUACGCUAAUACCGCAUAUGCCCUGAGGGGGAAAGGAGGGGAUCGUAAGACCUUUCGCUUUCGGAGUGGCCGAUAUCAGAUUAGCUAGUUGGUGAGGUAAAGGCUCACCAAGGCGACGAUCUGUAGCGGGUCUGAGAGGAUGAUCCGCAACACUGGGACGGAGACACGGCCCAGACUCCUACGGGAGGCAGCAGUGGGGAAUUUUGGACAAUGGGGGCAACCCUGAUCCAGCCAUGCCGCGUGAGUGAAGAAGGCCUUCGGGUUGUAAAGCUCUUUCGGACAGAAAGAAAUCGUGCAGUCUAAUACACUGCAUGGAUGACGGUACUGUAAGAAGAAGCACCGGCUAACUACGUGCCAGCCGCCGCCGUAA